rnacentral:rRNA from 1 species
UGGUGGCGAGUGGCGAACGGGUGAGUAAUGUAUCGGAACGUGCCCAGUAGCGGGGGAUAACUACGCGAAAGCGUAGCUAAUACCGCAUACGCCCUACGGGGGAAAGCAGGGGAUCGCAAGACCUUGCACUAUUGGAGCGGCCGAUAUCGGAUUAGCUAGUUGGUGGGGUAACGGCUCACCAAGGCGACGAUCCGUAGCUGGUUUGAGAGGACGACCAGCCACACUGGGACUGAGACACGGCCCAGACUCCUACGGGAGGCAGCAGUGGGGAAUUUUGGACAAUGGGGGAAACCCUGAUCCAGCCAUCCCGCGUGUGCGAUGAAGGCCUUCGGGUUGUAAAGCACUUUUGGCAGGAAAGAAACGUCAUGGGUUAAUACCCCGUGAAACUGACGGUACCUGCAGAAUAAGCACCGGCUAACUACGUGCCAGCAGCCGCGGUAAUACGUAGGGUGCAAGCGUUAAUCGGAAUUACUGGGCGUAAAGCGUGCGCAGGCGGUUCGGAAAGAAAGAUGUGAAAUCCCAGAGCUUAACUUUGGAACUGCAUUUUUAACUACCGGGCUAGAGUGUGUCAGAGGGAGGUGGAAUUCCGCGUGUAGCAGU